CUGGCUCAGGAUGAACGCUAGCUACAGGCUUAACACAUGCAAGUCGAGGGGGCAUCAUGGAGUUUGCUUGCAAACUCUGAUGGCGACCGGCGCACGGGUGAGUAACGCGUAUCCAACCUCCCUAUAGUAGAGGAUAGCCCGGCGAAAGUCGGAUUAAUACUCUAUGUUUUCCGUUGCAGACAUCUAAGAUGGAACAAAGGCUUGCCGCUAUAGGAUGGGGAUGCGUCUGAUUAGGUAGUCGGCGGGGUAACGGCCCACCGAGCCAUCGAUCAGUAGGGGUUCUGAGAGGAAGGUCCCCCACAUUGGAACUGAGACACGGUCCAAACUCCUACGGGAGGCAGCAGUGAGGAAUAUUGGUCAAUGGGCGAGAGCCUGAACCAGCCAAGUAGCGUGCAGGAUGACGGCCCUAUGGGUUGUAAACUGCUUUUAUGCGGGGAUAAAGUUCACUACGUGUAGUGUUUUGUGGGUACCGCAUGAAUAAGGACCGGCUAAUUCCGUGCCAGCAGCAGC
rnacentral:rRNA from 1 species